CAGAAUCAUACACCCUCUGUGAACACAGGAGGCCUUAGUUUACGGGGACGGGGAGGCGAAAGGAGAUCAUACAUGGAAGCAGAUCUGAGAAAUCCCCUACCCCAGCCUCUGGGUGCUCUUAGGCCUUCUUCCCUGUUGCUCCUCGCUUUCCCUUCCAUCGUGUGUAAAGUCUCUUUGACCUAAAUCAGAUUGCAAACCACCCCCAGAUGUCAGCCCUGAUCACUGACGAAGAUGAAGACAUGCUGAGCUACAUGGUCAGCCUGGAGGUGGGAGAAGAGAAGCAUCCUGUUCAUCUCUGCAAGAUCAUGUUGUUCUUUCGGAGUAACCCCUACUUCCAGAAUAAAGUGAUUACCAAGGAAUAUCUGGUGAACAUCACAGGUGACAGGUGGCUCCCAGGAUGGGUAGUGGAAGGAAGAUGGUGGGUGGAUCAUUGCCAACGGGAUCCAGCCCCCUUCCCACAAAAACUCCUGUCUCUGUAGAAUACAGGGCUUCUCAUUCCACUCCAAUUGAGUGGUAUCCGGAUUAUGAAGUGGAGGCCUAUCGCCGCAGACACCACAACAGCAGCCUUAACUUCUUCAACUGGUUCUCUGACCACAACUUCGCAGGAUCUAACAAGAUUGCUGAGAUCCUAUGUAAGGACCUGUGGCGCAAUCCCCUGCAAUACUACAAGAGGAUGAAGCCACCUGAAGAGGGAACAGAGACGUCAGGUGAGCCGUUAGUUGGCACUGGAGCUGUUUGAUGCGCAGUAUAAGGGGGUUGACACACCUGCCUAUUCAGGGAGCCUGGGUGCUCAUUUCAGAAAUGUAGAAACUGAGGCUCCUUUC
rnacentral:lncRNA from 1 species